rnacentral:rRNA from 1 species
UACGUAGGUGGCAAGCGUUGUCCGGAUUUAUUGGGUUUAAAGGGUGCGUAGGCGGCUUAUUAAGUCAGUGGUGAAAUACUCUAGCUCAACUAGAGGGGUGCCAUUGAUACUGAUGAGCUUGAGUACAGAUGAGGUAGGCGGAAUUGACGGUGUAGCGGUGAAAUGCUUAGAUAUCGUCAAGAACACCUAUAGCGAAGGCAGCUUACUAGGCUGUAACUGACGCUGAGGUGCGAAAGCGUGGGGAGCAAACAGG